GGGAAGGUGGGGAACAGAGAUAUAAGGAGUUUGUAGCUGAGAUUCAGGCAAUCGGAAGGGUUAAGCAUCCUAAUGUUGUGAAGUUAAGAGCUUAUUAUUGGGCUCCUGAUGAGAAACUUCUCAUUAGUGAUUUCAUUUCCAAUGGCAACUUGGCUUCUGCUCUUCACGGGAGAAAUGGGCAACCAUCACUUAGUUUAACAUGGUCAACGAGACUGAAAAUUGCUAAGGGAACAGCGCGAGGUUUAGC
rnacentral:misc_RNA from 1 species